GCUCCCGGGGUGGGGUUCCCAGGUGCCAGGAGCAAACGGCUUUCAGAAGGUCAGAGGGCAGAACCGAGACCCCACCUAAAACCCGUGUUGGUGAAGGGUGGCCCCCGCGGGACAAAGGCAGGAUGGUGCUAUAAGGAGAAGUGGGUCUGAGGGAGCGGGGACGAACGCCCCCCUGACUCCAGUCCUAGCAGCCGCGAACAGGGAGGGGCUGCCUUCCCCCCACCCCUAGCUGCAGGCUGAGAGAGGAACUGCUCCCCCUGCAUCGUCGUGGUACUGCUGGGCUCCGGGCCGGCCGAGCACAUCCACCCUCCCUGGAAGGGUAGCUCACCCCAGGCUUCCGGCCCAGGACCCCCAGAGGCCCAGCGGGACACGCGUCAGCAACCUCGACUUGAAGACACGGCCCACCUUGGUGGAGAAUCUGCAGGCCUGUCGAAGACAGGACUGGCCCUGUGGACCUUCCCAGGGUGCAACUCUCAGAGGCCAGAGGACAUCGUUUGCGGUCAUGGCAUUGCGAGCUUGCGGUGUGCCUCGGGCGUGAUCCCCAUUCACGGCUGUGCCAUCCCGCAGCCCUAGCAGCCUGUUAGAGGCGUGAUCCCCAUUCACGGCUUCUUCCACACCACUAGCUGGCAGGUGGCCCAGGCGGGGUGUGGAUCAAGGACGUCGGGCUCAAGCCAGAUCCCCUUCUGUGGGGCUGUGCUCUACGGCGCGGCUCGCUCCCUCACUUGGAGGUCCCCGGGGAACGUGUGGCACACUCAGCAUGUCCUGGAGGCUUGAGAGGAGAUCAGAGAGCGGCGCUCGUGGAUAUCUACGCGUUGUUUGCGUUAUUGUGAUAGAAAGCUACUCCACCUCCCCAAGUCUUCAAUGGCCUGUGAGACACAACAAAAUAAAAACACAGAAGAGGGAA